rnacentral:rRNA from 1 species
UACGAAGGGGGCUAGCGUUGUCCGGAAUUACUGGGCGUAAAGCGCACGUAGGCGGCCUAUUAAGUCAGGGGUGAAAUCCCGGGGCUCAACCCCGGAACUGCCUUUGAUACUGGUAGUCUCGAGUCCGGAAGAGGUGAGUGGAAUUCCGAGUGUAGAGGUGAAAUUCGUAGAUAUUCGGAGGAACACCAGUGGCGAAGGCGGCUCACUGGUCCGGUACUGACGCUGAGGUGCGAAAGCGUGGGGAGCAAACAGG